GACCUGGUGACCGAGUGGCUAGGUAGGAGUCUGCAAAACUUCGUACGGCGGUUCAAUUCCGCCCCAGGUCUCCA
rnacentral:tRNA from 5 species